rnacentral:misc_RNA from 1 species
GAAAUGCGAUAAGUAAUGUGAAUUGCAGAAUCAGUGAAUCAUCGAAUUUUUGAACGCAUAUUGCACUCCUUGGCAUUCCUUGGAGUACACUUGUUCGAGCGCCGGUUGCGUCGUAAGGCUUUGCCUUGUGUUGAGAUUUCCUGACCAGGAACUCUCCAAACCCAUGGGCGUCGUCGUACCUGAACCGCAACACAAUGCGACAUUCAGUAGUGGCGACCGCCGAAAACCGUCAUGCAUGGCCUCGAAUCAAGUGGGGAUACCCGCUAAACUUAA